UCUGCAGUAUGUCUAAAUUAACCUGCAAAUGCAAACCAAACUACAUAUGAAUUAUUGAUGGUGAUAUUUAAGGAUGAAUAAGAAGGUAAGAAUUUAUGCAUUACAAGAUAUUUAAGCUUAAAAAAAAAUGACAAAAUGAAGCAGGAUAGAACAAGAACCAGAAACAUGCCCAUAAAAAACUAGCAAGAUAGUAUUGCAUUACCAGUUUUUUUUUUUUUUUUUUUU
rnacentral:misc_RNA from 1 species